AUCCAGCUAACGAGUCCCAAAUAGGACGAAACGCACGUCAAACUGGAU
rnacentral:hammerhead_ribozyme from 1 species